GUGGGCGUACGAAACUUGCGAGGAUUCUUCUUUAGUACGAGAGGAUUUGGAAGGACGUUCCUCUGGUGUACCAGUUGUCGCGCUAGCGGCACGGCUGGAUAGCUAAGAACGGAAAGGAUAAACGCUGAAAGCAUAUAAGCGUGAAGCCCGCCUCAAGAUCAGGUUUCGUAGGGUUUAACCCGAAAGUCCCCUGAAAGACGAUCAGGUUAAUAGGCCGGAUGUGUACGUGCAGUAAUGCACUCAGCUAACCGGUACUAACGGACGAUUGCUUGACCACUCG
rnacentral:rRNA from 1 species